GGAGGGAGCCAAGGGAGUCAAAACCCUAACAUCACAAAUCUCUCAAAUUGAAAGGGGAAAAUUGAAGGUUUAUCAAUGCAUGAGUUAGAAAUGUUCAUCCCUAAGUGAAAUUAACAUCAAGCACAAAGAAGGAAGAAGGCGCAAGUCACUCGAAGGCACAAGCAUCUCAAGAUCGCGGUAAAUCACAUGACUAAUUGCGGCGCGCUCGGACCGAACAUACACACACAACGUUGACCUUUAUACGCUUCCGGUUCAAGUUGUUUCUUUUGAAUGGGUCGAAACGUCCUUUUGUGUAGUAAAUGUUAA